UACGAAGGGGGCUAGCGUUGCUCGGAAUUACUGGGCGUAAAGGGCGCGUAGGCGGAUACUUAAGUUGGGGGUGAAAGCCCAGGGCUCAGCCCUGGAAUAGCCUUCAAUACUGGGUAUCUUGAGUUCGGGAGAGGUGAGUGGAACUCCGAGUGUAGAGGUGAAAUUCGUAGAUAUUCGGAAGAACACCAGUGGCGAAGGCGACUCACUGGCCCGAUACUGACGCUGAGGCGCGAAAGUGUGGGUAGCAAACAGG
rnacentral:rRNA from 1 species